rnacentral:tRNA from 1 species
AGGGGAGUGGCUCAACGGUAGAGUAGUGGUCUCCAAAACCAUUGGUUGCGUGUUCGAAUCGCGUCUCCCCUG